rnacentral:lncRNA from 1 species
GGUUGAUUGAAGCCCCCCUGGAAGGCUUGUGACUGUGGGGGCUGGGGUGGCGGCGGCUUGUUCUCAGUGCUCUGGGGGAGAGGAUCGUUGUACUUGCAGGUGUACUGGUGGCUGUUGCGAGCGUUCCGAUCAAGGAACCCGUAGCCGUAGUCGUUAUGCGGGCACUGGACGUUGUUGCAGGUGUACACGCGGUUGUUCAGCAUCAGCUCUGGCUCCGCAGAGCCGGGUGCGUUCCUCUUCUGGAUGAACUCAACCUCAGCAGUCUCCUCCUUCAUUGGCG